rnacentral:sRNA from 1 species
UAUGUUCUGAAAUAUGCGUUAAGCUCUUAUUUUGAACCUACAUCAAUUUUACGGGAGUUCAAUAUUCUGAUGAGGAUAUGUACCAUCUUGUGAGACCUAUAACGGCAUUGAAGGCGAUAGAGACAUCAAUGAGGACACCCACCUAUCGAGAGAUAGGUGUCAAAAUAGAGUACCGGUAUUUUGGAUAUAAA